ensembl:lncRNA
GUAGCUAUAUCCUCUUUUAUACUUUCUGUGUAUGUAACUAGCUAGCAAAGACGGCGUAGCAUUUAGCUAGAACCAGACAUUCUGCAGCAUUUUGUCUAAAGACAAAUAUAAGCAAAGUGUCCAAAUAAGUGUUUCUCAGAGUAUAUGUAUUUGUAAGUUGAACAUGUGCCUGCAACUGUAAAUGUUAAAAUAUGGCAUCCUCUUUUUUGUAGCUAAGAAUACCUGUAUUAGCUAGCAAUCACAGUUUUAACAUGUAAUUAGAUAAGUUUAAAUUCAUUCAUUGAGCUUUUUAAUGGCAGAAAAAAUAUAUAGUGAAAAAGUAGCUUCCUCAAAACCAAUUUUGUCCUUGAGAAUUUCUGCAGAAGUAAAAUAACUUCUUCCACAGGACGAAAGAGAAUGCUAAUGAGCAUGUGCAGAGUAAGUGUAAUCUCCAGCUUGUUUAUGCUCCGCUACAAUUGCCCCAUUUUACCAAAUGCUCCCGGUCUUCUACCGCUGGUAUUUGGGAUUGUGCUACUGGUCAGUAACAAUACCACAGACAUGUUUAUAAUCUUUGUUGAUAAGAAAAUAAAUGAAAAGGGAUGAGAUAGGCCAGGGGCUGCGUUUUUUUUGGAAGGUCUAACUGAGCAUCUGCAGUGGCUCCUAGGCAUGGCUUAUUUCCUUGGUACCUAAGAGAGAGGAUGACACACAGAGACAGAGGAAAGGGGUAAAGGUCAUGGAAACGAGGGCAAACAGAUGCAUAGUGUUGUGUGGAGUGCAAUAAAAGUAGGCUAUCUUUAGAUUCUGCCAAAACACAGCUGAUGGGUUGUUGUUUUUAAAGCCUCACAGACAUUGGUUCCUGGCCUUUGGAAGUUAUAUGGACUAACUCCCUGGGUCUGCUCUCCACUGAACCAAUAAAAGGUUUUUUGCAUGGUGGCCACAUUGCACAUGCUUAGCAGAGAGUCGAGGGUUUAAACAAGAUGUAUAAAU